rnacentral:rRNA from 1 species
AACGAACGCUGGCGGCAUGCCUAACACAUGCAAGUCGAACGAGACCUUCGGGUCUAGUGUCGCACGGGUGCGUAACGCGUGGGAACCUGCCCUUAGGUUCGGAAUAACUCCCCGAAAGGGGUGCUAAUACCGGAUAAUGUCUUCGGACCAAAGAUUUAUCGCCUUUGGAUGGGCCCGCGUUGGAUUAGCUAGUUGGUAGGGUAAAAGCCUACCAAGGCGACGAUCCAUAGCUGGUCUGAGAGGAUGAUCAGCCACACUGGGACUGAGACACGGCCCAGACUCCUACGGGAGGCAGCAGUGGGGAAUACUGGAAAAUGGGCGAAAGCCUGAUCCAGCAAUGCCGCGUGAGUGAUGAAGGCAUUAGGGUUGUAAAGCUCUUUUACCCGGGAUGAUAAUGACAGUACCGGGAGAAUAAGCUCCGGCUAACUCCGUG